AAUUUCAGGGGAAAAAUUAAAAAAACAAAAGAAAUCUAAAUGGGACUCAAUCAAUCAAUCAAAUAGCACCAAAACAAGGAGGGACCAAACGCACAAAUACCCCAUUCGGAAGCAAAACACGCGGACAAACUCCCCCCCCCCCCCAAAAUGCUGUUUCAUUUUAUUACCUAAAUUAAAACAUGUUUUAAAAUUUUUAUUUAAAAAGCAUUUUAACUUUUGCUUUAAAAAAAAAACCCUAAAUGCCUUGUAUGUUUUCUCAUCUCCCUCACUCUCCCUUUACUCUCCAGCCGAAAGGCUAGUGCCCAGGGCCUCCAUUCGUGACCAGCGAAGGCCCGCCGACGGUGCGAGCACGGUGCGACUCCGGUGACUCCCUUUCUCCCUAGUAUUUUGUGUUGGUAUUGUAAAUCUGAAUGAAAAUAAAAAACAUAAUAAAUAGCGAAAAAUCACCUUUGAAGUAUAUUUUUCGAUGGCUUUUUAUUGAUCUUUGUAUGUAUUUUAUAUACAAUUUCUCUGGAAAAAGAAAGAAAAAAACCCUCUAUAAUAAAAAAUUUUGAAGGCUUUAUAGCUAAAUACAAACAGUUGCUUGCUAUUCUAUCGCUCAAACUGCAGAUCGUGGAGGAGAGCGUCGUGGGGCGUGGUGCAUGUUGCACAUGGGCUAGGGGUCGUGCUUGAUAUGCCGACGUACGUGGUGGAGGGACGCUGAACGUAGAGGCUGCGAUGCAAGGCAAUAGCCUAGGGUUUUCCAUGUUUUUCUGACUUAGGCUAUUGGGCUUGUGCAAUUGAUUUUUUUUUGGGCCUAGUGUAAUUAAAAUAAUUUAAUGGAUUGUUUAAUUUUUUUUGUUUGAUUUUGGUUUCCCUAUGGGCCGAGCAAAAUUCGGGUUUUACAAUAAGCCUAUGCACUUGCUAUACCAUAGACAAAGUAUGUCAAAUAUAUUAUCUAUCGACAAUAAGUUAAUAAAAAAUUGUAAACAACCUACUGCUACUUGACAAUAUAUCCAAAAUAAAUAUAUACCAAAAGUUGCUAAUAUAGUCUAUGGACAAAAGAUUGCUAAUAUAUUCUAGAUUUUAUGAGACAAUGAAGCUACACACCCUGGAAGAAUAGAAGUCUAAGGAUGGUCAAUAAGUAUUACAUUCACUUGAUUGCUUAAGUACAUAAUCCCUUCCAAAUAUUUUGGCAAAGAAAAGAAGAAAUCUACCUUGUGUGAAUCUUUUGCUAAUAUAUUCCCCUAUAGAAAGCAUUUCAUCCUUGGAGAGGCCUUCAAUUUCUAUAAUUUAUGUGAAAAUCAUCAUUCUUUAUUCACCUUCCUUUGCCUCUUUUUUUGAAAAAAAAAGAAAUGUCAUUAAUCUCUUGUGCAACUUCUCGAUAAGCAACACCAAACUUACCUAUCUCCUCCAUAAGAUCAAAUAACCCAUUAAUUCUCCGAGGCCUUUUCUUACUAGUUACAACCUUCUUUACAAUAAUCACAAUAGCAAUUGUAGGUGCUUGACAAGCUGAAGCACCUAUUUCCUCUCUAGAUUCAAAAUAUUUGACUACCUCUUUUUCAACAUCAAAUACAUCUUCAAAUUUAUUAUCUUCAACAUCCAAAUCUUCCAUUGCAAUAGUUUUUAUCUCAACUGUAGCUCUUGUAGCUCUUUCUUUUCCAAAUAUUUAGACUAAGUCAUCAAAGAAUGGAAGUGGUUUAUUUCUCAAUCCAAUAGCAUGUGGAUGAAUCUACCCAAAAAAAAAACCUUGAAUUUUUUAAAUUGAUUUCAUAAUUAUAACUAAUUAUAGUAAAUAUAACGACAAAAUUUCUAGUAGUGUUAGAAACUAUGAUUAUGGGACCCUGUUUUCAUAAAUUGAGUUUGUAAAUGUUAAAUAGAGAUAUUUACAAAAAUAAUGUAUUGAUGAAUUAAAUUUUGGAUAAGUAAUUUUACAGAAUUAAUAGUUAAUUAAGGUAUAGGGACAAAAUUGUAAAAAGGUUAUCACUAUAGGUUUUUAAUUGGCCAAAGGCUUAAGGAAUUAUAUAACAAUUAAACCAAGGUCUAAAAUGGCAAAUAUACCAUCUUAGAAACAUUAGUGGAUGGUAAGUGAAUAACUUAUAUAUAUUAUAAAUAUUAUAAUUAAAUUAUUUACAUUAUAAAAUGUAUAAAAUAAAACUAAUAUAGUGGAAAGAAAGAGAAAUCAUCUCUUUUCUUCAUCCAUGCACGAAAGAAGAAGAAAGAAUUCAGCCUUAAGGGCUGCUAGUUUCAACAAAAAAUUGGUAUGUGUAAUUUAGUCAUUUUCUUGUGAUUUUUAUGUUUUUGAGUGUCAUGAGAGCUUGAUCUAGCUAGCCCAUAUAUCAAUUUGUAAAAUUGUUAAAGUUUUAGAUAGUUUGCAUCAAUUAUUUCUUGAAUUUUUGGGUGUUAAAUUAUAGAUUUUAAGCUUAGUUUUGAAAAAGGACUAAAUUGUAAAGCUAAUUGAUAGUUUUGUGCAUUAGGGAACAAACUAAAUAAAAUGUAAAAUUUGAACGUAGGAAUAAGAAAUAGAAGGUCCUAAUUAAUAAUAAUGAAAUCAGAGUUUAAUUUGGAGUUUUAAAUUGAAAUUUAUGCUAGUCUCGAUUUUAGGGACUAAAUUGAAUAGAUUGUAAAAUAUGUGUGACUUUGUAAUUGAUUGUGAUUUAAACUGAAUUUUGAUAUUAUGUAUUUUCAUAUUCUAAUUCAUAGCUAAAGGCGACGCAGGAACGUCGAGGGGAAAAGGAAAGACGAGAUCUGAUAACGAGUAACCCAAGUGUUUGAUUU
rnacentral:lncRNA from 1 species